rnacentral:rRNA from 1 species
UACGGAGGGGGCUAGCGUUGUUCGGAAUUACCGGGCGUAAAGCGCACGUAGGCGGCUUUGCAAGUUAGAGGUGAAAGCCCGGGGCUCAACUCCGGAAUUGCCUUUAAAACUGCAUCGCUAGAAUUGUGGAGAGGUAAGUGGAAUUCCGAGUGUAGAGGUGAAAUUCGUAGAUAUUCGGAAGAACACCAGUGGCGAAGGCGACUUACUGGACACAUAUUGACGCUGAGGUGCGAAAGCGUGGGGAGCAAACAGG